rnacentral:rRNA from 1 species
UACGAAGGGGGCUAGCGUUGCUCGGAAUCACUGGGCGUAAAGCGCACGUAGGCGGCCUCUUAAGUCGGUGGUGAAAUCCUGGAGCUCAACUCCAGAACUGCCUUCGAUACUGGAAGACUUGAGUCCGGGAGAGGUGAGUGGAACUGCGAGUGUAGAGGUGAAAUUCGUAGAUAUUCGCAAGAACACCAGUGGCGAAGGCGGCUCACUGGCCCGGUACUGACGCUGAGGUGCGAAAGCGUGGGGAGCAAACAGG